GAUGAACGCUGGCGGCGUGCCUAAUACAUGCAAGUCGAGCGAACAGACGAGGAGCUUGCUCCUCUGACGUUAGCGGCGGACGGGUGAGUAACACGUGGAUAACCUACCUAUAAGACUGGGAUAACUUCGGGAAACCGGAGCUAAUACCGGAUAAUAUAUUGAACCGCAUGGUUCAAUAGUGAAAGACGGUUUUGCUGUCACUUAUAGAUGGAUCCGCGCCGCAUUAGCUAGUUGGUAAGGUAACGGCUUACCAAGGCGACGAUGCGUAGCCGACCUGAGAGGGUGAUCGGCCACACUGGAACUGAGACACGGUCCAGACUCCUGCGGGAGGCAGCAGUAGGGAAUCUUCCGCAAUGGGCGAAAGCUUGACGGAGCAACGCCGCGUGAGUGAUGAAGGUCUUCGGAUCGUAAAACUCUGUUAUUAGGGAAGAACAAAUGUGUAAGUAACUAUGCACGUCUUGACGGUACCUAAUCAGAAAGCCACGGCUAACUACGUG
rnacentral:rRNA from 1 species